AAUAGGAGAAUGACAAAUUGGAUUUUUCCUUCUAAUUUUCAGUCUUUUUCUCAUGAAAAAAUUCAAAUCCAACUAAAAAUGCUAAAAAUCAAGAGGAAAAAGUUGAUUUGUCACUUUCUUAUU
rfam:Gossypium arboreum cultivar AKA8401 contig_33613_5, whole genome shotgun sequence.